CGUGGGGUAACCUGCCCAAGAGAUCGGGAUAACACCUGGAAACAGAUGCUAAUACCGGAUACAACAGAUGAUGCCUAUCAACUGUUUUAAAAAAGAUGGUUUCUGCUAUCACUCUUGGGAUGGACCUGCGGUGCAUUAGCUAGUUGGUAGGGUAACGGCCUACCAAGGCGAUGAUGCAUAGCCGAGUUGAGAGACUGAUCGGCCACAUUGGGACUGAGACACGGCCCAAACUCCUACGGGAGGCAGCAGUAGGGAAUCUUCCACAAUGGACGCAAGUCUGAUGGAGCAACGCCGCGUGAGUGAAGAAGGGUUUCGGCUCGUAAAGCUCUGUUGUUGGUGAAGAAGGACAGGGGUAGUAACUGACCUUUGUUUGACGGUAAUCAAUUAGAAAGUCACGGGCUAACUACGUGGCAGCAGCCGCGGUAAAU
rnacentral:rRNA from 1 species